GUGGGCGUAGCGCAGCUGGUUAGAGCGCCAGGUUGUGGCCCUGGAGGUCGAGGGUUCGAAUCCCUUCGCUCACCCCA
rnacentral:tRNA from 1 species